AGCGAACGCUGGCGGCGUGCCUAACACAUGCAAGUCGAACGUGAAAAGGGAAACCUGAGUAAAGUGGCGUACGGGUGAGUAACGCGUAGGUAAUCUACCCCAGAAUCUGGAAUAACCUGCCGAAAGGCGGGCUAAUACUGGAUAGAGCGAGGGAACUCUUAAGAGAGUUUUUCGGGAAAGGGAGGCCGCAAGGGCCUUCGUUCUGGGAUGAGCCUGCGUCUCAUUAGCUAGUUGGUAAGGUAACGGCUUACCAAGGCGAGGAUGAGUAGCUGGUCUGAGAGGAGGAUCAGCCACACUGGAACUGAAACACGGUCCAGACUCCUACGGGAGGCAGCAGUGGGGAAUCUUGCGCAAUGGACGAAAGUCUGACGCAGCCACGCCGCGGGAGUGGAGAAGGCCUUCGGGUUGUAAAGCUCUGUCGGAUGGGAAGAACAUCUUCAUAGUGAAUAGCUAUGAGGACUGACGGUACCAUCAAAGGAAGCACCGGCUAACUACGUG
rnacentral:rRNA from 1 species